AUUACGAAGAUUCCCAUAAUAAGGAUUAUAGUUAACUUGGGGUUAUGUAGAAAGGAUUAUUUCCUGGAGAGAGAUAAGCUUUCCAACUCAAGUACAACAAACCAGAGAAGUCUUGCAACAAAAAGAUGGUUUGCUGCAGAUGUGUACUUUGCUUUUCUGAUGUUGUGAGAUGGAAAUGAUAAAGAUGGGGUUCAGCAAGAGACUCUGGAUGAGAUGGACCAUCAUGGAAUAUGAUGUGACUUCCACUGAAUGACCACCAUUGAUUCUCUCCUGGGAGAAGGAAGUCUGCAAUCCUCUCGCAGUGCCUCUGAAAAAGGGUUGGCCUGUUUUUCAGCAUUUCAAAUGAGAACAUGGUGUCUCCAAAGGAUGGAAGCAGUUUGGCUUGAUGGCUUAUAGUUGACUCAUGAACUCUGGUGUAAUCAAUUUUGUUUCCUUUGCAUUGUUGGGCAGUGAAUCGGAGCAUGGCAUUGUCAAUAACUUUUCCACAUUGCCUGUUAGAAGUGUGCAAGGAAAUGUUGCGAAGAUCACCAAAAGACCGCUCCUCCUGUUCAGGUAUAAGUGAUCUUAAGCAAAAUAUCCUGUUUGUCUGUGGCGCAUGAACUGUUAAAGAGUGGAAAUGGCUGCCAUAGAAUUUUCGAGCUGUCAUCUUCUUUGGUAUGCCUAUAACCGAUUUACAAAGACUGCUGAAUUUAAAUGCUUGGUUAUAAAGUCUUAGUAUCUGCUUUGGUGAUCUCUGGUUAUAGUGCAUAUAGCAUAAAGCUGUAAUUUCAACAAGAGAUGUGCAUAAUUCCAGGAUAUCUUGGGAGAUUCUUUUCUCAUGGUACAUGGACAGGGCAAAUUUAGCUAAUUUAAUGGCAAAGAGUCGUGCGUCAGAACCUCGGAUCUGAUUUUUGUCACCUAUGGUUGUUGCAGAAAAUUUUUCAAAGUCUUUUUCAACGGAUUUAUCAUCAAAAUGUGAGGGCAGCUCAGUUAUGAUAUUUUGGACAACAUUGGAAAGAUCAUGUAAGGGUUCACAGGCAGGGAUUUCAUAUAAGGCCAAGUGGUCAUGUAGAUCUUCACCAGAACAGAACAGUGCAGGAGGGCGCUGGAUUCCGUGAAGUAUGGACUGUAACUUUUCUUGAAGCUGUGUUUUGCCUAGGUCAUAAAGAAGCAAUCCUCUAGACUCUAACUCUUUGACCAAGUCCUCCUUCUUCAGGUUGGAAAAUGGUGACGGAUUAUUAAGCUAAAUCUUCUCCAGAGAGAGCCUCCCUUGAAAACUUUACACCUAUCUUCUAGAGAUGGGGGAUGAAAUCCAUAAGCAAACUCUAGGUUUUGGUGCUCUUUGGAUGGUAUUCCACAAAGGCAGCUAAAAUUACCUCCCCUUUGCUGUCCUGAUUCAAACUGCCUUGCUGGUCCAUCACCACUAAAGACUCGCAUGACGUCAUGGACAGGUAUUCCAUUAACUUCCAUUGGUUCUAGGAGCUCCUUUAGAUCUUCUAUUCUUGACAGCGUGUAAGAUAACUGGUCAAGGUCUGUACUUUUGGAUUGACCCAAAAUGUAAAGAUGCGGCUUCUCUACUGUAGCCUGAACAUCAAUGGGAGGACGAUCUGGGAACUUUUGGCAGUAUUCUUGGUUUGUUAGAAAUAUGUAGGGAUCAUACAGAGUAGACACCAUGAAUGAUAUAUAACUGUGAUUGAGGAUGUCUGAGUGGUCAUGCCAUAUCUUAAGGUGACGUGUUCUCUCUAAUUUGAUGAGAUCUUCUUUUGUACCUUGGUCUUUCAUGUUAUAUUUUGAGGAUAGUAUGUUCUUUACUUCUUUGUCUGUCAUUUGGUCAUAUUCUGUGUCUGUUCUGAAUUUCAUUAACUCUAUUUGGUCCUGAUUCAUGCUGUUCCGUAUCUC